GCACAAGCGGUGGAGCAUGUGGUUUAAUUCGACGCAACGCGAAGAACCUUACCUGGGCUCGAAAUGUAGUGGAAUCCGGCAGAAACGUCGGCGUCUAGCAAUAGACCGCUAUAUAGGUGCUGCAUGGCUGUCGUCAGCUCGUGUCGUGAGAUGUUGGGUUAAGUCCCGCAACGAGCGCAACCCUUAUCUUCAGUUGCUACCAUUUAGUUGAGCACUCUGACGAAACCGCCUCGGAUAACGGGGAGGAAGGUGGGGAUGACGUCAAGUCCUCAUGGCCUUUAUGUCCAGGGCUACACACGUGCUACAAUGGCCGGUACAAACCGCUGCAAMCCCGCGAGGGKGAGCUAAUCGGAAAAAGCCGGCCUCAGUUCGGAUUGGAGUCUGCAACUCGACUCCAUGAAGCUGGAAUCGCUAGUAAUCGUGGAUCAGCAUGCCACGGUGAAUACGUUCCCGGGC
rnacentral:rRNA from 1 species